AGUCGCGUGGCCGAGAGGAUAGGUGUUGGUCUGCAAAACCAUUUAACGGUAGUUCGAAUCUACCCGCGACGU
rnacentral:tRNA from 1 species